AACGAACGCUGGCGGCAGGCCUAACACAUGCAAGUCGAGCGCUCUAGCAAUAGGGAGCGGCGCACGGGUGCGUAACGCGUGGGAAUGUACUCCUUGGUACGGAACAACAUCGGGAAACUGAUGCUAAUACCGUAUAAUAUCUCCGGAUCAAAGAUUUAUCGCCAAGGAAUCAGCCCGCGUCAGAUUAGCUAGUUGGUGAGGUAAUGGCUCACCAAGGCUACGAUCUGUAGCUGGUCUUAGAGGAUGAUCAGCCACACUGGAACUGAGACACGGCCCAGACUCCUACGGGAGGCAGCAGUGAGGAAUCUUGGACAAUGGGGGCAACCCUGAUCCAGCCAUGCCGCGUGAGCGAUGAAGGCCUUCGGGUUGUAAAGCUCUUUUAGCUGUGAAGAUAAUGACGGUAACAGCAGAAAAAGCCCCGGCUAACUUCGUGCCAGCCGCCGCUGUAA
rnacentral:rRNA from 1 species